UACGUAGGGGGCGAGCGUUGUCCGGAGUUACUGGGCGUAAAGGGCAUGCAGGCGGUCCGACGCGUUUUGUGUGACAGCGGGUGGCUUAACUACCCGAGGAUACGAAAGACGGUUGGACUUGAGGACUCGAGAGGGACACGGAAUUCCGGGUGGAGUGGUGAAAUGCGUAGAGAUCCGGAGGAACACCGAAGGCGAAGGCAGUGUCCUGGCGAGUGACUGACGCUGAGGUGCGAAAGCCAGGGGAGCAAACGGG
rnacentral:rRNA from 1 species